CCUACGGGAGGCAGCAGUGGGGAAUAUUGCACAAUGGGGGAAACCCUGAUGCAGCGACGCCGCGUGAGUGAAGAAGUAAUUCGGUAUGUAAAGCUCUAUCAGCAGGGAAGAAAAUGACGGUACCUGAGUAAGAAGCCCCGGCUAACUACGUGCCAGCAGCCGCGGUAAUACGGAGGGGGCAAGCGUUAGCCGGAUUUACUGGGUGUAAAGGGAGCGUAGACGGCCGUGCAAGUCUGGAGUGAAAGGCGGGGGCUCAACCCCCGGACUGCUCUGGAUACUGUACGGCUGGAGUGCAGGAGAGGUAAGUAGAAUUCCUAGUGUAGCGGUGAAAUGCGUAGAUAUUAGGAGGAACACCAGUGGCGAAGGCGGCUUACUGGACUGUAACUGACGUUGAGGCUCGAAAGCGUGGGGAGCAAACAGGAUUAGAUACCCCUGUAGUC
rnacentral:rRNA from 1 species